rnacentral:rRNA from 1 species
UACGUAGGGUCCGAGCGUUGUCCGGAGUUACUGGGCGUAAAGCGCGCGCAGGCGGCGGUGCUGGCCCGGCGUGAAAGCCCCCGGCUCAACCGGGGGAGGGUCGUCGGGGACCGCACCGCUUGAGGGCGGUAGGGGCUGGUGGAAUGCCUGGUGUAGUGGUGAAAUGCGUAGAGAUCAGGCGGAACACCCGUGGCGAAGGCGGCCAGCUGGGCCGUCCCUGACGCUGAGGCGCGAAGGCGUGGGGAGCGAACGGGG